UGCUGGACAGUGUGGCUAUGAUGGGAAC
rnacentral:piRNA from 1 species